rnacentral:rRNA from 1 species
ACUCCUACGGGAGGCAGCAGUGGGGAAUAUUGCACAAUGGGCGCAAGCCUGAUGCAGCCAUGCCGCGUGUGUGAAGAAGGCCUUCGGGUUGUAAAGCACUUUCAGCAGUGAGGAAGGCGGAGUCGUUAAUAGCGGCCUCGUUUGACGUUAGCUGCAGAAGAAGCACCGGCUAACUCCGUGCCAGCAGCCGCGGUAAUACGGAGGGUGCGAGCGUUAAUCGGAAUUACUGGGCGUAAAGCGCAUGCAGGUGGUUUGUUAAGUCAGAUGUGAAAGCCCGGGGCUCAACCUCGGAAUAGCAUUUGAAACUGGCAGACUAGAGUACUGUAGAGGGGGGUAGAAUUUCAGGUGUAGCGGUGAAAUGCGUAGAGAUCUGAAGGAAUACCGGUGGCGAAGGCGGCCCCCUGGACAGAUACUGACACUCAGAUGCGAAAGCGUGGGGAGCAAACAGGAUUAGAUACCCUGGUAGAUAGCG